GACGAACGCUGGCGGCGUGCCUAAUACAUGCAAGUUGAGCGCUGAAGGUUGGUACUUGUACCAACUGGAUGAGCAGCGAACGGGUGAGUAACGCGUGGGGAAUCUGCCUUUGAGCGGGGGACAACAUUUGGAAACGAAUGCUAAUACCGCAUAAAAACUUUAAACACAAGUUUUAAGUUUGAAAGAUGCAAUUGCAUCACUCAAAGAUGAUCCCGCGUUGUAUUAGCUAGUUGGUGAGGUAAAGGCUCACCAAGGCGAUGAUCCAUAGCCGACCUGAAGGGGUGAUCGGCCACAUUGGGACUGAGACACGGCCCAAACUCCUACGGGAGGCAGCAGGAGGGAAUCUUCGGCAAUGGACGAAAGUCUGACCGAGCAACGCAGCGUGAGUGAAGAAGGUUGUCGGAUCGGAAAACUCUGUUGGUAGAGAAGAACGUUGGUGAGAGUGGAAAGCGCAUCAAGUGACGGUAACUACCCAGAAAGGGACGGCUAACUACGUG
rnacentral:rRNA from 1 species